GCCGCCUUAGCUCAGUGGUAGAGCAGCGCUUUUGUAAAGCGCGGGUCGGAGGUUCAAAUCCUCUAGGCGGCU
rnacentral:tRNA from 1 species